GUUAAAAAUGAUAAAUUCAGUGAUUUAGAGAAAACACACAGGACGUACAAGUAAUAAGACAAUCCUCACCUUCAAUACUCAUCUCUAAAGUACAAAUCAAGCACAUGGCAACUAAAGGUAUCCUACCAAUAUCUGACAUUUGAAUGCAAUAUGUACAAGAUGCUAACACGUCACUCGCCAAAUCAUUCUGGAAAGAGGAAAAAAAAAAAAAAAAAAAAAAAAAAAAUCAAUUUGAAGAGUGAAGGCACUCAAAUGCACACGAGGAGUGACUUUAGGAUUAUGGACUUUGCUCAAUGGCACAUUAGUUACAAUAAUUAUUGAGAAAAGUGAUCUUUCACAUUCCCGUCCCACAUUUUGAAAUCCUCUCAGGGGAUUGAACAUAUGACCUUCUGUCACUAGAUAACGGAUUUCCAUGGGAACAAAGAGAAACCUCUGAUGAUAAGUCCGGUAGGUAAGAGUCAUAUUUUUGAUGGGGAAGAACAAAAGAAAUACAAGCGUUUCCUAAACAUGUCAGAGAAUGCAGGAAUAUUCCCACUGUUUGUAUGUCCAAAACCAGUAACCUUAGCUAAAUUAUUACCAACAUAUACUUAACAAAAAUAAGAACAACCCCAGGUUUC